UGAGCUGUUUUUAAUAUAGUGCUUUAAAAAGGGGGUUGGCCCCUUCUUGCCUUUUUUUGUGGGUCAAGAAUUCCUAGGAUACGCUCUCUUUUCUGGCCCUUGCUCUUGUUUCUGACCCUUGAGGCUGAGAUAAAUGGAAAAUGUUGGGUAUCCAGCGUGAAGGGACAAAUACAAGCAUCUUCAAAGUAAACUAAUGAUCAGGGCAGCGUGGAGAGCCAAAGAAUAUGAAAACUGGUCCCUGUUCAGACUUGACAUCCCAUCGGGCCGCCUUGGGAUCAUCAGCAUUCAGGUUGUUGGAGAUCCGAUUAUGAUCAUCUUCCUAGAUUCCUUGACAAACCUGGAGUGAAAGAAAUUAGUUUAUAUCAAGCUCAGAAGGUUGCCAAUAUCUCUCCAGGUAAUGAUCUCUGGGGCAUUAAUCUGUUCUUGCAAAACUGCUCAUCUCCAGACUAUCCUGUAUCAUUAUCAUUGUCAUCAUUAUUAUUAUUAUUUCAUCCACACCUGUGAUUUCACUGUUAUGUGAAACUUCUGCUGUGGAAAAACUCUCUAUUGAUGCAAGUUGGCAACUUGGAUGGGACUAAAGACUUAGAGAGUUGCCUGAAAUAUUAAGAUAUUAUAUUAUUAUGAUCACAUAGAUAGUAUGUGUUAGGCACAAGUUAUUAUUGUUCAAUUGCUUCAAUCACAUCUGACUCAUUGCAAUCCCUUUGGGGGGGAUUUCUUGGCAAUUUUAUUGAAAAGAUUUGUUAUUUCCUUCUCCAGCUCAUUUUAUAGAUGAGAAAACUGAGGUAAACAGAGGUAAAUGACUUGCCUAGCACUUCAUAGCUUGGAAGUGUCUAAUGAGUCUUCCUGACUCCAAGCUGGGCACUCUAUCCACUCUACUAUUACCCUUCUAUCUCCAAGACCUGCCUUCUAUCAAAAAAUUUUUUCUAUCUCUACAACAUCUCUCUCAUCUGACUCUUCUCUACUCAAAAAACAGUUGUUUUGGUCCUUUUUUGGUCCUAUUGUUGAGAUCCUUUUUACCCAUUGCCUAGAUUAUUGUAACAGCUUUCUGAUUGGCUUCCCUUCCCCAAGUCUAUAUUGCUAUAAAGAUAAUUUUCUAAGCACAUAUCUAAUUAUAAUUUCCUCUAUUCUGUAAACUUCAGGAAUAUCUUAUUGCCUUUGGAAAAAAAUAUAAACUUUUUUUAGCUUUUCAAGCCCCUUACAUUCUAGCCCUGACCUAUGUUUCUAGCUAUUGUUCUUUUCCUGUAAUCCAGAUAAACUUGGCUUCUCUCUGAUUCUCACACAAAUCACACCAUUUCUGAGUCUUUGUACUGAUCAUACUCUAGGAAUGGAGUACAUUUCCUUCUUAUCUCAAUCUUUCUUUAGAAAUACCUUUCCUGGUUCUCCCUCAAGCUCAAGCCCUCUCUCCCAAAAGAUUGUGUACCUAAUUGCCUUUACAUUUUAAAAAAAUUUGGGAUAUAUUAAUGAUGUACACACACAUAUAUAUGUAUGUAUAUAUAUAUAUAUAUGCACAUAUCAUUAUCUCUCCCCAUUCCUAUACAAAUUACUUAGGAGAAGGAAUUGUUUCAUUCUUUGUACUUGUAUUCCUAGCAUUGAGCAUAAUGCCUUGGCAUAUAUAAUAAGCAUUUUAUAAAUGCUCAUUCACUCAUUCAUCUGUAAUCUAUUCAUUCCUAUUCUUUUCUGCUAAAACAUAUGCUGCUUAGACCAGGAGAUCAUUAUAUAUUUCAACAACAAUACUAUAUGA